rnacentral:rRNA from 1 species
UACGUAGGGCGCAAGCGUUGUCCGGAAUUAUUGGGCGUAAAGAGCUCGUAGGCGGCUUGUCACGUCGGUUGUGAAAACUGGAGGCUCAACCUCCAGCCUGCAGUGGGUACGGGCAGACUAGAGUGCGGUAGGGGAGAUUGGAAUUCCUGGUGUAGCGGUGGAAUGCGCAGAUAUCAGGAGGAACACCGAUGGCGAAGGCAGAUCUCUGGGCCGUAACUGACGCUGAGGAGCGAAAGCAUGGGGAGCGAACAGG